CAAAUGAAUUGACGGGGACCCGCACAAGCGGUGGAUGAUGUGGUUUAAUUCGAUGCAACGCGAAAACCUUACCACCUUUGACAUGUACGGAAUCCUUUAGAGAUAGAGGAGUGCUCGAAAGAGAACCGUAACACAGGUGCUGCAUGGCUGUCGUCAGCUCGUGUCGUGAGAUGUUGGGUUAAGUCCCGCAACGAGCGCAACCCUUGUCAUUAGUUGCUACAUUCAGUUGGGCACUCUAAUGAGACUGCCGGUGACAAACCGGAGGAAGGUGGGGAUGACGUCAAGUCCUCAUGGCCCUUAUAGGUGGGGCUACACACGUCAUACAAUGGAUGGUACAAAGGGUCGCCAACCCGCGAGGGGGAGCCAAUCCCAUAAAGCCAUUCGUAGUCCGGAUCGCAGUCUGCAACUCGACUGCGUGAAGUCGGAAUCGCUAGUAAUCGUGGAUCAGAAUGUCACGGUGAAUACGUUCCCGGGUCUU
rnacentral:rRNA from 1 species